AGGCUAGUUCUGAGAAUUUGAGGAAACUGAUGAAUCGUCUCUUCUAAAUUUGAAAUAUAAUAGACCUGUCAAGCUGGGCUGAAAAUUUUACAUUUCCUUUUCAAAAAACCUACUAGAAAUUCUUCACAAAUCUGUUCAAGCUAAAAAGUGUGUUUGCGUAUACAAGGGAAACAGAAAGAGGCAGCGACAGAGUAUGACAAUGACACGACAAUAAAACAAAACCAACAAAGAAAAAAAGACGGAACAGACUAUAUGAGGUUUAUAAUGUGUAUGUUUCUCUUCUUUCAGUUAGAAUGUGUUCUUUCUUCCUCCCUGUAUUUAUGUAAUAGAAGAUAUUUUAUAUUUCCAUAAGGCACACUUAUAAUUUUGUUAUUCAAACAUCCUAUUCUCAAAAUAUCAUUCAUUCUUAGAAAUGUUUGUGUAAUUAUAAGGGUGGCAUUCACACUAAUUCAUAGCAAAUAUUAAUAGAGAUUAAUGUGAAUUAAAUAGUCUAGAAAUAAGGGGAACAUGAUGAUCAAAAUUCAUCAACCAGCCAGACACACUGCAGUUCAGGGAUCUUUUGUAUGAUCCACUUCAUCACUGUUUUGAAAAACCUUUUAAAUUCAAGCAUAUACACUUUAAUUCCUGGGAAAUCUACUAGGAAACAAAAUUCACUGUUUCUCUCCAAAAAGAAUAUAAAUCACACAACAACAAAAAAAGCUAGACACCUGCACAAGCAAAAAUCUUAAGUUUAAUUAUGUUUGGUUUUAACUUACUUUCCAUGCUUUCACAACUCCCUAAUCCCACUGAAAUUCCCUUAGGUCAGGAACUGUUCAUUCUCCCCUAAAUUACUCUUAAGAGCAGCCUGACUCUCCUCCUCCUAGUUAUGACUGUCAGAAAACUCAUUUUUCUUUGAAUUCCUCCUCAUCAUCCAUCUACCAAACAUUAAGUGUUAAAACAAGUCUCAGAGGAGGGGGGACAUAAAAUAUAUGAAUAAAUAAUCAGAAAACUCUUAUCAAAUUUGAUAAACUUUGACUUACCAAGUAAAAUAAAAAGUAAAGAGUCAUAGAAAAUGAAAUAGAAAGCAGAUUGACAUUAGAGAAAAUUGGUGGACUCAAAAGUCCUUUAAAACGAUCUAAAAUUGCUAAACAUAUAGGUAUAUUAAGGAAAGAAAAAGAGAGACAAUAGAAAUUUCCAAAAUUAGAAAUGAAAAAGGGAAUAUAAUUGCUGAUUCCACAUAUGCUAUAAAGCUAAUAUGGGAACAUACAGACAAAGCUAUGCCAAUAAAUACUGCAAACUUGAUGAAAUACAAAUUGCUUAGUAGUUGCAAAUUAUAAAAAUUAACAAUAAUAAAAGCUUAAUGACAUUAGUUAUUAAAUAAAUGAUACUUAUAAUUUAAAAAUCUUCACACAAAGAAAAUCCCAGCCCCAUAUGUGUUCACUGGUUAGCUCCACAAACAUUUAAGGACGAAAACUGCAUCAAUCCUAUGUAAACUCUUUCAGAAUUUAGAAUGAAAGCAAACACUUCUCAACAUAUUCUAUGAAGCCAAUACAUGAUUCCAAAAUCUGUCAGGACAUUGCAAGUAAAAAAAAAAGGGAAAAAAGUUACAGCCUCUAGAAAACAGACACAAGUAGAUAAUACAAAUAUAAUUUAUUUAGUUAUCUAUCUUCACCACUCCCUUGGAAUGAAACUUUGCUUGUUACAUCAAAUAACUUAUAAUGGAGUUUUUAUUUUUUUCAGUUUUAUCCUAUUUUACCGUUUGACCUCUUUCAUCUCCCACCCUCCACCCACUAUCUCUGCUGAGCACCAAUUUGUUCUCUGUGUCUAUAAUUUUUUUUUUUUUUUAGAUUCUAGUAUUUGUCCUUCUCUGUCUGACUAAUUUCACUUAACAAAAUGCAAUCAACGGAGUUCCUGAUGUGGUGCAGCAGACACGAACCUAACUAGGAACCAUGAGGUUGCAGGUUUGAUCCCUGGCCUUGCUUGGUGGGUUAAGGAUCUGGCGUUGCUGUGAGCUGUGGUGUAGGUUGCAGAUGCGGCUCUGAUCUGGCAUUGCUGUGGCUGUGGCAUAGGCUGGCAGCUACAGCUCUGAUUAGAGCCCUAGCCUGGACCCUCCAUAUGCCACAAGUGCAGCCCUAAAAAGACAAAAAGACAAAAAAAAAUGCAAUCAACAUCCAUCUAUAUUUUUACACAUGGCAUGAUUUAAUUUUUUAUGGCUGAAUAUUAUCCCAUUGUGUUUGUGUGUGUUUAACUUCUUUACCCAUACACCCAUCUAUGGACACUGAGAUUGUCUCCAUUCUUGGCUAUUGUAACUAGUUCUUCAGUGAAUAUGGGGAUGCAUAUAUCUUUUCAAAUUAGUGUUUUGAUUUCUUUGGAAACAUGUAUUUUUAUAUGUAUAUUCCUGUUAUUAGAAAUUACAUUUGAUAGGUUCAUUUUGCCCCACCAUUAUUUAUUUAGAAACUAGCUUCAAGUGCACUAUUUAUCAUAACUAACCCAUGUAUUUUAUGCUACCUACUUUAUAUCACCUAAUGCCAUCUCUCAUUUGUAAGUAUACUGAGCAAAUUAGUAAUUGCUGAUUUUCAGUUACAGGUUGCUCUUUGGCUUGAUGUUAUUAGACUGAAUGGUAGUAACAAAUUAUUUCCUAAGGGGAAAACUAUUUUCCCCUAUAUUAUUUUGGAAGUCAUAUAAGAUACUUUGAUAUUUAAAUGAAAAAUGAACAGCAAAACAUCUAAAAUCAAUUUCUGAAUGAAAAUAAUCACGUGAUGAUAAAAAUGACACAUGAUAAUCAUAAAAAUAUGACACGUUCAAGGAAUCUAAUGACAAAUACUGAAUAAAUACCAGAUUUUUCUAGAAGGAAAACCCAACAUUGAUAGCAUGCAUUUGAUAUAAUUAUUCCCUUUGAGAACUGGAAAAAAAUCCCAAUAGAAUAAGUAUCUGUCAUAGCUAUGCUCUGACAAAUAAUGUGUAAGACAGAGGCUUCAGUGACAAAAUAUCAACACUAUUUUCACUUUCCAAACUUUGAAUGUUAGGACUGCCCUAUCAAAGACUUAAGAGUCCAAGUUUUUCUUAGUAAUAAAUAUGAGCAUAAUGAGGAAAACUUUCUACCUUAAACAAGUCCUAACAAUACCUUGGCAAUUGUAAACUUCCAGCAUAUGGUUCAUUUACAUGAAGAGCAUCUUGGCAGAACAUUUUUAAAUAUCUAAGCCUCCAAGAUGAUGAGAAGACAAACAACCUGGCCCACGGGGUGAUUAAUACUAUUGUAGACAACCAUGAUUGAUUGCCCAAAACACUCUCUUUUGUCAGACUUCUCUUGGUAAAACUCAGUGCAAAUGAAACUUGUUUUUUUGUCAUUUUGAAUAUUUUAACAGCUUCAUUUCCUUGGGUAAAAUGAUUAGUGCAUUAUAAUUAGCGUAUAUCCUUGGGUUGAGUAUCAUGAAAAUAGUUAGUGCACACUUUCAGAAUGUAAAAUACUAUAAUCCUAUUUUUGCUUCUUUUGUUUAGCACUUUAUGGAGAUGUAUUAUUUUGUUGUGAAAGUAAUACAAUGUGAAGGACAAUGUAAAAGCAAGCAAAUACUCAGGUUUACAUAUUCUAAUCAAAUUUAUCUGAUUCAUGAUUAGAAAUUACUAAUCAUGACUGACAAAUUCUUGAUUUCUCUAUGAUAUGGCAGUUUAAUUUUUACCACAUUGUAAAGUUCUGAACAAGGUUAAUUAUACAUUUGCCCAUAGUUCUGAAUACGUCAGAUCCCUCAGUUAUAUAUUCAGUGCUAUUCUUGCCGCAAUUUUAUAGUAAAAAUACUUUACAGAAAUAAAAUAUUUUGUAUUACUGCUGCUAACAAUAUUUCCUGCUUUCACUCUUUUUCAAAAAUAACUAAACCAGCUCUGAAAUUACACACCUUGUCCUAAGUACUAGAUCUCUGUAUCUAUCGAUCGAUCGAUUGAUCCCAAUACCUAAAAACUAACAUCUAAGUAGGUAAGAAUAGAUUUAUUUAAUCUCUGGAAAAUUAAAUGCACAUAUUGUUCUGCCAAAGUAAAUCCCCUCAUAAUAUAACUUCUUUAUGUAAGAUGAUGUGCUAGAAGAUGAAAUAAGAAUGGGCAUUUUUUUUUAUGUGCUUGAGUUUUUAUGCCCUUGAUCCCCUAAUACACUGGUGACAGAGAUAGGCAUGUGAGCAGACAAACUAAUAUAGCAAGAUUUGCAUGACUUUGGGUAAAAAGAUAAGAUGCUUUAACAAAAAGACCCCAAAUUAGAUAUGUCUAUUUCUCUCUCUAGUUGCUGCAAGAGGUAAGCAAUCAAGAGGACAGAGAAUUUGUAUCUUUUCACAUGUAGCUUUCAUCUCUGAUCCCAGGUGGCUGUUUCAGUUGUUCUUAUUUCAAAUUUUGGAGGUUCUAGAGAACCACAAAUAAGCAUAACUAGAAUAAUAUAUAAAUAUCUAGUUGUGAAUCCAAUUCAGAAAAAAUUAUAUUUAAACAAUUUUAUUAGCAUACAAAAAGUUUUAAAAUUAAGAAUGUAAAUAUAACUAAGCCUGAUUAAUCAAAUAAACUACAAAUAAACAAAAAUCAGUAAAUUUCAUAGGUUUUUUCUGUUAACAAUUAUGGAAGAAUAUUUGAUAAUCAUUUGAGAGAAAGCAGCACCUACAUACCUUAAGGGGCUAUGAUAUCUAAGAGAAGGGACAUACAACAUUGUGAAACUCACAUUCACUCUGGUCUUUUUACUGAGUGCAUUAUCUAGUCCAUUGCAGAACAGAAUAAAGUUUAAGCACAAAGUGAGAACUACAAUAGUUGCUAGAAAUAGAGGUUGGUACAGAUUUACUUCGAAGCUUAUGUCAAAUACACAGCCGCUCAUAUGUAAGGCGAAACUUUAAGAAACCCAGCAAAAAGCAGUCUCUGGUAGCUAAAGACCUGAGUAGAUAACUCUGCUGCUAUACAAUAAGGGGAGGCAGUGGAUGGAAGUAGAAGGGCUUUUAUGAAAAACCCAGGAUUUUCUCUGAAACUCCAGAAAUUCCCCAAUGUGUGUGGAAAUACAAUGCAACUAAAGAUAAAAAUGAUGUAUGCCAGCCUAGGCAACUCUAAAUUAAAUUUAGAGAGUGUCACAUUAGUCUACUUAUAAUCCUUGUGCUUG
rnacentral:lncRNA from 1 species